UUGGAGGCUAGACUGGGUGGCUUGGCGGCACCUGUAACUGCAAAUCGUCAUAGGCAGAGUUGAUAAGCUUGCGAGGUUUGGUUUGAUAAAUCGAAUCCGUGCCAGAGCGUCGAAGCUCAGCCUUCUGGGAUUUCCUUAUAGUGAACCGGGUCAGGACGGGAACGUAGCAGCCCUAAGGUAUAAUCGAAGUGCUCAGGAGAUUACUGAGUGGAGCAAUGGUUACGGGCUGUUCUGUUUAUUUUAUUUGAAUCAGACAAGCGUGUCUCCAC
rnacentral:SRP_RNA from 1 species